rnacentral:lncRNA from 1 species
CAAAUACAUUGUGUAAUUAAUUAUCCAUUGUAUAAAUUUUGAAAACACAACAUUUUACAUUAUCUAUUCAAUCAAAUAAAAAAUAUUCAGCUUAGGUCAUAAAUUUGCAGGAUCUAUAAACAUAGCUAGGGGAUUUACAGAUUUCAUCUUUGACCUGUUACGAAAUAAGAAGAGCGCAUAAUGUUAAUGUUGAAGCAUAUAUAAAUUACAAAAGAACACUACGGAGGCUAAUUCAUCUUCGACCUGUUACAGAGUCUCAAAGGGGCUUCCGAACGAAGAAAUUCUCGUUAUUUUUGAGAUUUCUUGCAGAGAUUUUUCACCCAUUUCAGGCUCAAUAUCUUCUUUCCCGACUUACUUUUUUCAUCUUUUUUCUUCUUCUUGUCAUCCUCCGAUGCAGGUGGCAGAGGUUCCGGUCCCCACUGAUCUGCCCAUGAAAGCCCCUCGGAGCCAUAUAUGUCCAUGUUCUUGUUUUCUUUUUUAGUCCCUUGGCAUUCCCAGACAAGAAUUCCUGCAAAAAGAGCCCGAUAAAUU